rnacentral:rRNA from 1 species
UACGGAGGGUGCAAGCGUUAUCCGGAUUCACUGGGUUUAAAGGGUGCGUAGGUGGGUUGGUAAGUCAGUGGUGAAAUCUCCAGGCUUAACUUGGAAACUGCCAUUGAUACUAUCAAUCUUGAAUACCGUGGAGGUCAGCGGAAUAUGUCAUGUAGCGGUGAGAUGCUUAGAUAUGACAUAGAACACCAAUUGCGAAGGCAGCUGGCUACACGAAUAUUGACACUGAUGCACGAAAGCGUGGGGAUCAAACAGG